CAAACAGGGUGAAGUGGGUCCCCGCGGCCACCCCGGGGGGGGCUUGGGAGGCAGAGGGUGGUCCCCAAGGGGGCUGAGCACCCCCAGAUUUUUACCCGGGGGGGGGUGCUGGGGGGGGGGGGGCCUCACCUGGAGCACGAGGCUGGAGAAGAGCAGGUUGCUGGAGAAGCUCAGGAGCAGGCUGGCGUUGUAGGCGUUCUCGCCCUUGUUCUCCAGCACCGCGUCCAGCACCGCCUUCCUCCUGCCCUUGCGCAGGACGUGGGGGCUCUGCCUGCAGUACGGGGGGGGUUACGGCCCCGGGGGGGAUUUUUUUGGGCCCCCCCCGUGCCCGUCCCCAGCCCCGUACCCAUCCCCGGCGAUGUCCAUGGUGGCGCGCAGCACCAGGUCGGCGACGCACUCAUCGUCCUCGCCGCAGUCCUUGAAGAAGGGGAUCUGCAAGGGGACAGGGGGCUAGGAGCAAGGGGGGGGGGCGCGGAGGGCCCCCCCCGGGGGGGGGGGGGGGGGGGGGGGGAGGAUAAGGGAGGGGGGGGGGGGAUGCUGUGCUCACCAGGACGUGGAAGGGGAAGCGGAGGCAGCUCUGCCUGCCCAGCUCCAGCUCCGUGCGCCGCUGCAGCAGCCGCCGGGCGCCCGAGUCGAAGGCGGCGCGGGCCCCCCCACCCCGCUCCUCCAGGGACACGUUGUACUGCAGCUCUGAGAGGGGACGGGGGGGGGGGGCAGAACCGGGGGGGCGGGGGGGCCGGGGGAUGCUCGGGGGGGCUCCUGGGAUGCUUUGGGGGGCUCUGGGGAUGCUCUGGGGGGCUCUGGGGACACCCUGGGGUGCUCCUGGGUCCCAGCUGGGUGCUCCAGGGAGGCUUUAGGGUGCUCCACAGUCCCAGUGGGGUGCUCUGGGACACCCUAGGGUGCUCCACAGACACCCUGGGGUGCUCCAGGGUCCCAGUGGGGUUCCCCAGGGACUCCCUGGGGUGCUCUGGGGACACUUUGGGGUGCCCUGAGGUCCAAUUGGGGUGCUCUGGGACACCCUAGGGUGCUCCAGGGACUCCCUGGGGUGCUCUGGGGACACCCUGGGGUGCUCUAGGGUCCCAGUGGGGUGCUCCAGGGUCCCAUUAGGGAACCCUCCCGGCCCCCCUGGUGCCAGGAGCCCCGUGUGUACCCCCCCAGCCCCCCCAGGCUCUCACCGAUGUCCCGGUCCCGCUGUCCCGGUGCCCGGCUGCUGGCUCGGAAGCAGACCCUGGCCCUCAGGCAGACGGCGCCGCCGCCCCCCCGCCGGCAAUUCCUCCGCGUCACGCUGAUGGCCGGGGGCUCCACCGACACCGUGGUGGCCACCCCCACGAUCUGCCGCGAGCUGGCAAAACCCCGGGGGGGGGGGACACACAGGACAUCAGUGUCCCCCCCCUUCCAUCCCACCGAGGUGCUCCCGGGACCCUCCCCGUGCCUUGGAGCCCCCGAGGGGAAACUGAGGCACGGAGCAGGCGGUGCCCACCCAGGAGAGACCCCCCCAGCACAUGGUGGGGAGGGUUGGGGGG
rnacentral:lncRNA from 1 species